CACGGGGGGGGUCUCUUCCUAUAUAAAGGUAUAUACAUAUGUGCCGCUGGAAUGGGUCCCUUUUUUGAUCCGUCAAAUAUAUCAAUGGGGUGCAAUUUUACCGAGGAAAUAUAUCAAUAGGUAGUAAUUGACCGAUUGUGAUACUAUUUGAGCUGAUAAAUAUAUGAAUGGGUUAUGAUUUCGCUGUGAAAUAUAUGUAUAGGUAGGGAUUUCACAAUUAUUCA
rnacentral:lncRNA from 1 species